UGUAUUUGUGUUUUGGCGUGUUUAUGUUUUGGUGUUUUUUUCUAUUUUAUUUCAAUUUAGUGCUUUGGUGGACAAAUAAUCAAAUGGCAUAAAUUGGCGAUAAAAUUGUUUGCAGAUUUUUGGUGUCGGUGAAGAAAUUUUAUCCAACAUAAUGGAGAGCCAUGUGAAUGUUUUGCCGAACAAAAUCAUCCUACAUUUUAUAGCCAUGCAAGGUACACUGAGUAAUAAUUUUUAGCAAUUUUCAACACCGCGUAAAGGAACAGA